UUUUUUCCUUUUGAAUAAUGUGUGAUUAAAAAAGAAAGAAUAAGUUUGAACUUACGAAUAAUAUUAUUUUAUUGAAAAAUAUGAUUGAAAUGAGGAGAGAGAAAAAUGCAUUGAAUUAUAAUUGAGGCCAAUCAGGGGCUAAUUUAUUAAAUGCUGGCGUUUAAACAUACUUUAAGGCAUGGCCCAAACUCAAAUAUUGCCCACAACUUUCUCAAGGUGAAGAUUUGUCUAUGUGCCUCAGCUUAUCUACGCAAAACUUGUGGACAGUUUGCGAUUUGCCUGACGCAAGUGACGGUAACUGAGUGCAAAUACUUGUCUGAAUGAAAACUUUCACAGAUCUAGUUGGCUUUUAAACAAUGAUAUAAUUGGUAAACAAUACUGAAUGGGAUCUAUGGCCAUGAUGGUUCUAACCAAAGAAUUUUUAUUAAAAUAGAAAAUUGAAAUAUGAAUUAAAACCAUUCAAAUAUGACAUUUUGAUGAUAGCACAGUUCAAAUUUGUGACUUAAGCCAUGCUGUGUCACCCAAGAUAUAGUAUGAAAAUGUAUAUUCGUUCAUGAUGAAACGUAAAGAUUAUAAAGUCCAAAUCCCACAUCGGUUAAAGAUGUAUCACAUCAAUUAAUUUAGUUGGGGUCUGUGUGACUUUAGUGUUGCCUUUUCAUGGUGCUUGGAUCACAAUCAACCCUAUAAUUAGUGAUUGCACAAACAAGACGUGUGGCUUGACUAAGUAUAGGAAGGGAAAGGAUUUAGACUAGUUUUAUUAAUAAGGUUGAUUUAUUUAUUUAAUUUUUUUUUUGGGGGGGGUGGGGGGUGGGUAAACGGCUUAUAUUUUUUCUGAAUACUAAUUAGUUGGUUGGUUGUUUUCUAAUUUUGUUUUAUUUCAUGUGUACAACUCAUAGAAGGUCCAUUUAUCACCUUUUUUUUAUACGAUUAGGAGUACGAAGUAUUAAAUACUCACCGUCACUAUUUAAUUGAUUUGUGUAUUAAAUAACUGAUAAUCACUCUUUAAUUGGAACUCAGACAUACACAUGUAAAUUAAAUAGUGCUAGGAAGUAUUGAGUUCUAUUUUUAUACUUUGAAAAUGUUAUAUUUUCUUAAUAAGAAGGUAUUGGCUCCAUAAGAAUAAUGCUAUGUAUCAUAUAUGGUAUUCAAGAACCUAUGACUCCGCCAUUGGUCUCUGACCAAGUUCUUAGUAAUUUUAAAUCAUUUCACAAUGCACCACGUGAAUUUUACUAGGUCUUCAUUGAUAUUAGCUUUAGGAUGGUUGAAUUUUAUUUGAUCAAAGCAAGGGAUAUUUAAAAUGAGAUUAAAUACUCAUAAUCGGAUUACAGACAAAAUGCAGAAAGAGAGUCCAUUCUGCAGACAAUACAAAAACUCUCUUUAUUCAUUCAUAUAGUUCAUAAACAUACAUAUGAUAUAUAAGC
rnacentral:lncRNA from 1 species